rnacentral:rRNA from 1 species
AGCGAACGCUGGCGGCAGGCCUAACACAUGCAAGUCGAACGAAGCCUUCGGGCUUAGUGGCGGACGGGUGGGUAACACGUGGGAACGUACCUUUUGGUUCGGAACAACUCAGGGAAACUUGAGCUAAUACCGGAUGAGCCCUUAGGGGGAAAGAUUUAUCGCCGAAAGAGCGGCCCGCGUUAGAUUAGCUGGUUGGUGAGGUAAAGGCUCACCAAGGCAACGAUCUAUAGCUGGUCUGAGAGGAUGAUCAGCCACACUGGGACUGAGACACGGCCCAGACUCCUACGGGAGGCAGCAGUGGGGAAUCUUGCGCAAUGGGCGAAAGCCUGACGCAGCCAUGCCGCGUGAAUGAUGAAGGUCUUAGGAUUGUAAAAUUCUUUUACCAGGGACGAUAAUGACGGUACCUGGAGAAAAAGCCCCGGCUAACUUCGUGCCAGCCGCCGCAGUAA